UACGUAGGGUGCAGGCGUUGUCCGGAAUUAUUGGGCGUAAAGAGCUCGUAGGCGGUCAGUCGCGUCUGCUGUGAAAACUCGGGGCUUAACUCCGGGCCUGCAGUGGGUACGGGCUGACUAGAGUGCGGUAGGGGAGACUGGAAUUCCUGGUGUAGCGGUGAAAUGCGCAGAUAUCAGGAGGAACACCGGUGGCGAAGGCGGGUCUCUGGGCCGUAACUGACGCUGAGGAGCGAAAGCGUGGGGAGCGAACAGG
rnacentral:rRNA from 1 species